rnacentral:tRNA from 1 species
AAAUAAGAAGCAAAUAUUGCAUUUAAUUUCGACUUAAAAAUUAGAGUAAAAAUUACUCCUUAUUUA